rnacentral:rRNA from 1 species
UACGGAGGGUGCAAGCGUGACUCGGAAUCACUGGGCGUAAAGGGCGCGUAGGCGGACUAGCAAGUCUGGUGUGAAAGCCCAGGGCUCAACCCUGGAAGGGCACUGGAAACUGUUAGGCUUGAGUUCCGGAGAGGAGGGGGGAAUUCCCGGUGUAGCGGUGAAAUGCGUAGAUAUCGGGAGGAAUACCGGUGGCGAAGGCGCCACUCUGGACGGAAACUGACGCUGAGGCGCGAAAGCGUGGGGAGCAAACAGG